rnacentral:tRNA from 1 species
GCCCCAGUAGCUCAGCCCUAGAGCGCCGGCCUUGUAACCCGGAGGACGGAGACUAAAACCUCCCUGGAGCC